CGGGGGGGCAAGCGUUGUUCGGAAUUACUGGGCGUAAAGGGCUCGUAGGCGGCCAACUAAGUCGGACGUGAAAUCCCUCGGCUUAACCGGGGAACUGCGUCCGAUACUGGAUGGCUUGAGUUCGGGAGAGGGAUGCGGAAUUCCAGGUGUAGCGGUGAAAUGCGUAGAUAUCUGGAGGAACACCGGUGGCGAAGGCGGCAUCCUGGACCGACACUGACGCUGAGGAGCGAAAGCCAGGGGAGCAAACGGGAUUAGAUACCCCGGUAGUCCUGGCCCUAAACGAUGAAUGCUUGGUGUGGCGGGUAUCGAUCCCUGCCGUGCCGAAGCUAACGCAUUAAGCAUUCCGCCUGGGGAUACGGUCGCAAGGCUG
rnacentral:rRNA from 1 species